UACGUAGGUGACAAGCGUUAUCCGGAAUUAUUGGGCGUAAAGCGCCCGCAGGCGGCUGUUCAAGUCUGACGUGAAAUCGCUCGGCUUAACUGGGCGGGGUCGUUGGAAACUGAAUAGCUUGAGGCAAGGAGAGGGGCGUGGAAUUCCCGGUGUAGUGGUGGAAUGCGUAGAUAGUCGGGAGGAACAUCAGUGGCGCAAGCGGCGCCCUGGCCUUAGCCUGG
rnacentral:rRNA from 1 species